GAGCACGUUGACACGCACGAAACGACGAAAACAUGCGCUAAUGUUGCCCAAUAAGCACCAUUAUUAUUAUUAUGGAAUACUGACAUGAGUGUUGACGUUGGCGUGAUAUAGGCCGGCUAACACGCUGCGAGGGAAGGCUAAUGGCUACUGUUGCUAACAAGAAUGUCAACAAAGACGAUGACUGAGGAGGAAGGAUGCAGUUUAAGCUAGCUGGCUAAAACAUGUGCUCCUCUGGCCCGCCAUGUUAACAAACACCGCAGCGUUAAUAACAAUAAUCAGGUUUAUUUAACAGGCUAGUCCCCGCAUGGAGCACUCACAUUGGCGGCAGCUGCAGAGGAGCGGCGCCCCGGCGGAGGAACACCCCGUCCACGAACACCCCGUUCUUGCCCAGGCACCGCAGGUAGAAAUCCCCGCCGCCGGUGCCGUCGUCGCUGGCGGUGAAGAUCUCCAGGUGCCGCCGCGAGAUGAAGCUGGAGUGGCCCAUGCUGACGUCCACGGAGCCCUGGGAGGAGUUCCUCCCGAUGGUCACCGAGCGCUUUUUCAUCAGGUACUCGAACUCGCGGCCCUCCAGCCGCGCCACCGGCCCGGACGAGGUGCUCACCACCGCAGCCAUGUUGGCGGUCAAUGCCGAGGACUGGGACGGGGGGACGAAAUGAAGCGAGAGAGGUAAAGGGGGGGGGGGACGCGGUAGAGGCGCUGAGCGGUCGAAGCUACACAGGGGACAUGAAUACAAAUAGGACUCGGGAGGGGACCAUGCAGGCCGGGACAGCGGCUUAGACCACCGCGGACAGAAGAGGUCCUACCUAACGCAAGGGGGCUGGAUAUGCGGCUGCUAAAAACGCCCUACGCCAAUCACGUCCCAGGACGGUGACGCAGCCCGGCGAGGACGGCCAAUUGGAGCGGAGCCUUAAUCCGGGGACACAUUCAAGGACCUCUGGAAAGGCGGCAACUAUCAAGCAAUCAGGACCCACGCCAUGAUGAUGAGAGGAAGAAUGAAACACAAGGAAGACAUGAACCACGGGCGCCGUUCAGCCAAACAAACAUCAGAGGAGUAGGCGCAGGCGAAGGAGGAGGCGAAGGCAUCCCUCAGGGGAAAGCUGAGCGAGCGGUAGUUAGUAUCUCUUUGCAGAAAGCUCCAUUACGCCUCUCUCCUACUUCCUCUCCAAGGGCCAGGAAGCAAAUGGACGCCAUUAAUAACGCUCGCCACGAGAGGACUAAUGGCGCUUUGAGUGCCGAUUUUUGAUGCCAAGAACGGGGCCGUGUUUGGGAGGAGCAUUUGUCUUCUUGUCCUCUCUGGAUGCAAACAAAACGUCCCUAAAUGUCCUCUCAAAAGCAGCAUGUGGACAUUUAGGAGACUCACAACCAGGAAAUGGACAAGGACAGACAAAUAUUAGGACAGGAGGUGGCCACGUUAUGGAUAGUCUAUCUUAAAAGUUCUACUGUGUGUUUUUAUUAUAGUGUACAAUGAACAAUGUAAUGAAACGAAGCUUCGGAAGUGGUGAGACAGUGGUGUCCAAAGUGCGGCCUACAGGCCAUUUGUAGGCCGCAGCUACAUUUUUAUGGCCCACUGAAAAUUCUACAUGAAAAAAGUGAAAUAAAAGAGUAAACAUGUGAAAUUUAACAAUAUAAAGUUGCAACUCUCAUAACACAAAGCUGCCGUGCAGGCAGUUUUUUUUUAUUAUUUAAAACUGUUGUUGCUCAAAAAUAUAGUAAUUAAUCUAAAUCAAUGUUGUUAUGACUAAUUGACUCAUUCAAGGCUCCAAUUACUUCACAUCAAAUAUUCCACAUUGAAAUGUUUGGGGGUAAACAUUCCAUAUUUUGUGUCUUUGCCAUAUAAAAAACCUAUGUUUACUUUAUCAAAAUGUGCAUAAAACAAAACAUUUAUUUAAAAAAAAAGAUUAACAAAAGCUUAUAUAUGAAAUUUUUUUUUGCCUUCAACUCCAAAAAACAUGGUUUUGACCAAAAAGGGCAUAAAAAUAUAGUUCAGAAAAAAAGUGAUAAUAAAUUAAAAACAAUGUUGUUAUACAUUUUUGACAUAUUCAAGGCUCAAAUGACUUCACAUCAAAUAUUCCACUUGGAAAUGUUUUUUGGGGGAAAAUAUUUUAUAUUUUGUGUGUUUGCCGAAUACAAAAAAAACAACAAUGUUUUCUUUGACAACAUGUGCAUAAAACAAAAAAAACAUUAACAAGUAUAUAUAUGUCAUAUUUUGAAUUAUUGACUCAUUCAAGGCUCAUUUACUUCACAUCAAAUAUUCCACAUUGAAAUGUUUGGGGGUAAACAUUCCAUAUUUUGUGUCUUUGCCAUAUAAAAAACUAUGUUUACUUUAUCAAAAUGUGCAUAAAACAAAACAUUUAUUAAAAAAAAGAUUAACAAAAGCUUAUAAAUAACAUUUUUUGCCUUCAACCCCAAAAAACAUGGUUUUGACAAAAAAGGGCAUAAAAAUAUAGUUCUGAAAAAAGUUAUAAUAAAUUAAAAUCAAUGUUGUUAUACAUUUUUGACAUAUUCAAGGCUCAAAUUACUUCACAUCAAAUAUUCCACUUUCAAAUAUGUUUUUACGGAAAAAUAUUUUAUAUUUUGUGUUUGCCGAAUAUAAAAAAAACAAUGUUUUCUUUGACAACAUGUGCAUAAAACCAAAAAAAAACACUAACAAGUAUAUACAGUAUGUCAUAUUUUGAAUUAUUGACUCAUUCAAGGCUCAAUUACUUCACACCAAAUAUUCCACAUUGAAAUGUUUGGGGGUAAACAUUCCAUAUUUUGUGUCUUUGCCAUAUAAAAACUACGUUUACUUUAUCAAAAUGUGCAUAAAACAAAACAUAUAUUUUAAAAAAAGAUUAACAAAAGGUUAUAUAUGACAUGUUUUUGCCUUCAACCCCGAAAAACAUGUUUUUGACCAAAAAGGGCAUAAAAAUAUAGCUCAGAAAAAAAGUGAUAAUAAAUUAAAAAGAAUGCUGUUAUAAAUUUUUGACAUAUUCAAGGCUCAAAUUACUUCACAUCAAAUAUUCCACUUGGAAAUGUUUUUUGGGGGAAAAUAUUUUAUAUUUUGUGUGUUUGCCGAAUAUAAAAAAACAACAAUGUUUUCUUUGACAACAUGUGCAUAAAACAAAAAAAACAUUAACAAGUAUAUAUAUGUCAUAUUUUGAAUUAUUGACUCAUUCAAGACUCAAUUACUUCACACCAAAUAUUCCACAUUGAAAUGUUUGGGGGUAAACAUUCCAUAUUUUGUGUCUUUGCCAUAUAAAAAACUAUGUUUGCUUUAUCAAAAUGUGCAUAAAACCAAACAUUUAUUAAAAAAAAGAUUAACAAAAGCUUAUAAAUAACAUUUUUUGCCUUCAACCCCAAAAAACA